rnacentral:rRNA from 1 species
AUUGAACGCUGGCGGCAGGCCUAACACAUGCAAGUCGAACGAGUGGCGGACGGGUGAGUAAUGUCUGGGAAACUGCCUGAUGGAGGGGGAUAACUACUGGAAACGGUAGCUAAUACCGCAUACCAUCGGAUGUGCACAGAUGGGAUUAGCUAGUAGGUGGGGUAAAGGAUCACCUAGGCGACGAUCCCUAGCUGGUCGGAGAGGAUGACCAGCCACACUGGAACGGAGACACGGUCCCGACGCCUACGGGAGGCAGCAGUGGGUAAUAUUGCACAAUGGGCGCAAUCCUGAUGCAGCCAUGCCGCGUGUAUGAAGAAGGCCUUCGGGGUGGAAAGUACUUUCAGCGGGGAGGCGUUACCCGCAGAAGAAGCACCGGCUAACUCCGUGCCAGCAGCCGCGGUAAUAC